AUUGAACGCUGGCGGAAUGCUUUACACAUGCAAGUCGAACGGCAGCACGGACUUCGGUCUGGUGGCGAGUGGCGAACGGGUGAGUAAUACAUCGGAACGUGCCCAGUCGUGGGGGAUAACGUAGCGAAAGCUACGCUAAUACCGCAUACGAUCUAAGGAUGAAAGCGGGGGAUCGCAAGACCUCGCGCGAUUGGAGCGGCCGAUGGCAGAUUAGGUAGUUGGUGGGGUAAAGGCUCACCAAGCCGACGAUCUGUAGCUGGUCUGAGAGGACGACCAGCCACACUGGGACUGAGACACGGCCCAGACUCCUACGGGAGGCAGCAGUGGGGAAUUUUGGACAAUGGGCGCAAGCCUGAUCCAGCCAUUCCGCGUGCAGGAUGAAGGCCCUCGGGUUGUAAACUGCUUUUGUACGGAACGAAAAGGCUCUGGUUAAUACCUGGGGCUCAUGACGGUACCGUAAGAAUAAGCACCGGCUAACUACGUGCCAGCCGCCGCCGUAA
rnacentral:rRNA from 1 species